rnacentral:rRNA from 1 species
CAGCAGCCGCGGUAAUACGGAGGGGGCUAGCGUUGUUCGGAAUUACUGGGCGUAAAGCGCACGUAGGCGGCUUGGUAAGUUAGAGGUGAAAGCCCGGAGCUCAACUCUGGAAUUGCCUUUUAGACUGCAUCGCUUGAAUCAUGGAGAGGUCAGUGGAAUUCCGAGUGUAGAGGUGAGAUUCGUAGAUAUUCGGAAGAACACCAGUGGCGAAGGCGGCUGACUGGACAUGUAUUGACGCUGAGGUGCGAAAGCGUGGGGAGCGAACAGGAUUAGAUACCCCUGUAGUCCCUGUCUCUUAUAC